rnacentral:rRNA from 1 species
UGGGGAAUUGUUCACAAUGGGCGCAAGCCUGAUGACGCAACGCCGCGUGGGGGAUGAAGGUCUUCGGAUCGUAAACCCCUGUCGAAUGGGACGAAAGACUCGCGAGUGAAUACUUCGCGAGAGUGACGGUACCGUUAAAGGAAGCCACGGCUAACUCUGUGCCAGCAGCCGCGGUAAUACAGAGGUGGCAAGCGUUGUUCGGAAUUACUGGGCGUAAAGGGCGCGUAGGCGGCCCUCUAAGUCAGACGUGAAAUCCCCCGGCUUAACCUGGGAACUGCGUCUGAUACUGGAGGGCUUGAGUAUGGGAGAGGGAUGUAGAAUUCCAGGUGUAGCGGUGAAAUGCGUAGAUAUCUGGAGGAAUACCGGUGGCGAAGGCGGCAUCCUGGACCAUUACUGACGCUGAGGCGCGAAAGCUAGGGGAGCAAACGGGAUUAGAUACCCGCGUAGUCCCUGAGCGGGCUGGCAAGGCGCAU